rnacentral:tRNA from 1 species
GCUGAAGUGGCGGAAUGGUAGACGCACAGGACUUAAAAUCCUGUGAUCGUAAGAUCGUUCGGGUUCAAGUCCCGAUUUCAGCACCA